UACGGAGGGUGCGAGCGUUGUCCGGAAUCACUGGGCGUAAAGGGCGCGUAGGCGGCCCGUCAAGUCAACGGUGAAAGCUUGGGGCUCAACCCCGAGUCGGCCGUCGAUACUUCCGGGCUGGAGCACUGUAGAGGCAGGUGGAAUUCCGGGUGUAGCGGUGGAAUGCGUAGAGAUCCGGAAGAACACCGGUGGCGAAGGCGGCCUGCUGGGCAGUAGCUGACGCUGAGGCGCGACAGCGUGGGGAGCAAACAGG
rnacentral:rRNA from 1 species